rnacentral:ncRNA from 1 species
AUACAACCUUUGAGGGAGCAGAGUAAUUAAGGUUUGCGUGGUUAGAGAGGAAAUGUCGUGGCUGAAAGCAUUUCUCCAUGUGCUUAAUGAAAGAACACUCCUUAGGUUUUUCCUUGAAGCUUUAGUAGGGGAAAACGUUACAGGCGUUAACUGUUUAAAGUGGGAUUUUUUAUUUUAAGGCGGUUUUACGAUGACUGAAUUAUGUCUUCUAGAAACCAUCGCAUACAAUAAUAAGUCCAAUUAGGGUGGCACCACGGGAAAUAAAACUCUCGUCCCUGAU